AAGGAACUUAAAUCCUCUUUCGCUGAAACGUGAAACGUGAAAGUUGAAACGCUUUGUGAAACGUAUUACACUGCUACUUACUCUGUUCAGUCCCUUCGAAGAUGGCUUCACCCAGGGGCGGAGCUAGGUUCCGGCUAGGCAUGGCACAUGCCCAGGCUUCUUGCCAAAUUUUUUUUUACUUGGGCCAUAGGCCUUUUUUUUAAAAAAAAAAGAAUUUCAGAUGGGCAAAAACAAAUUUGAUUGACACUGCCCUUGGCCCUUGCACACAACAGUUUUCCUCUCUUCUCUUAGUCUCACGCUCACGCACAUGGAAAACAUUCUCUGAAAUUCUGAAACGGCUUGAAUCUUCCCUUGUGCCUGCUUCUUCUUCGUCGCUUGUUCCUGAUUUGUGCCUUGCAGUUGUGCCUGUUUGUGACUGCUUCUUCCUCUCUCUCUAUCUUGUUCAGUUGUUCUAUUAGGCUUCAAAAUAAUCCUGGCUCCGCCACUGGCUUCACCCACAGAAUCGCAUCAUCUCUUCUUCAAUCGCCGAUCACCCAAAUCCUUCCUCACCAAUUCCUCAACCCACAGGAUCUCAUCUCAAGGAGGCCGAUUUGGAGGACAAACUUCAGUUUUAGAGUCAGAUCAACGCAGAACUACGAGAUGAAAGGAGCAGCAAUCGAUAAAGAAGGGGAUUCCAGUAUGAUUUGCCGAAGAUUAGGGGUUUUAAUCUUGGGAUUUUGUUUAUUGAUUUCACGUUAUGGUAUCGCAGGGCGCAACUCUCUAUUCUGCCAUGCCAGGAGGCUUCUGAGACAGUGAUGAGGCUUUAGAAGAUUCCUUGGUGCCCGAAAGGUUGAUAUGCAAAAUUAAAAUGCCUUUACUUGAGGAGAGAGCAUGUGCCAGAACAGACUCAUUAUGUAGGUUAGCAUUGCAGCAUAUAGAUAUGCUUGAAGCUGCUCUCGGAGACAAAAACAAUAAAGCAUGGUGUUGUCAUCUUCUAUCUCUCUGAAUCACCCGUCUCCAAAGGUUCUAUAGCUCAAAUAUGCUUAAUUGACAACAAGAUCGGUUAUGAAGUUUUUAUCAUUAGUCAUGGACUACAACUUCUAAUAAGGGUUCAUGUUGUUGUCAUUGUUAUGUUUAUCUCAUUUCAAUUUCAAUAUAAUGCAUUUCUUAAAAACUUGAUUCUUAUUACUAUUCAAAUGUUGACAUUGUGAGGUCUAUACAACCUCAUCAAAUUAAUAUAUUUAUUGUGGUCCAUUCAUCUACAUGUUUGUAACAUAUGUUCGGUUCCAUAUCUGUUCUACUUACUAAAAAGAGCCUAAAUUAAGUCAAAACAUAUUUCUACUGAUUCAUCUUUACAAUAAAUUUAAUCGCCGUGCAACGCACGGGUAAAGAACACUAGUAAAUCUUAUAGCAACAUUGUUUACUUUUCUUUUUUGAAUAGUUACAUUCUUUCUCAGUCAAGGUAUAUGUUAGAUGUGGGUUUUAUGUUAUGACUGCUUGAUUCUAUUUUCAAUCUCAUGUUCUAUUUUAAUCUGUUUCAAUUUUUUUUGUUAUUUCUCUUAUAAGUUCCUCUAUUGUUUAGAUUUUUUGUUCAUUUUUUUGUAAUUUUGUAAUUUUGUAAUGUGUUUAUUUUGUAAGUGAUCUGAAGUGUUGUUUAGAUAAUUUCCUUUUUCCUAUGUCAGCUGAAAACUACAGAAAAGCACUUCAAAUGGUGCUGCAGGAAGUGCUUUGCGAGUAGUGGUUACUGCAUAUUUUGAUUGAAAUAUUCAAAGAGCUGAUAAUCUGCUGCUUUUCAUAAUAUUGACAUCUUUUACUACAUAAAUAUGCUAUUGAAUAGCUAUUAAGUUGAUUAUCAUACUAUGAGUAAAAGUAGGCAUCGUUCUUACUCUUUUUUACACUUGAAAUUGGUUUUCGCUCUAAAUUAGCUUUAUAUUUAUAAUAAUAUUUUCUACAUGGGAUGCAGAUCAAUUUGACUUAUGAUUACCAGUUUGUUUAAUUUAGUGUAGAUCAAGAUUUUCAUUGCGGAGCAACGAUCCCAACAGUUUGGAAGAUAUCCUCUCCGCAAGUCAUGCUUUUGAGGAUCCAAAUGAAGGUUAGUUCGAGGGCAAUAGGCAUAAGCUAGGUGUGCGACUUACCAAGCCUAAAAUGUCCAGGUACUGCAUUAAAAUUAAUUGAAUAUCUGGUGGCUUCAUCUUCUCUGACAUAACACAACUUCAUCUAGAGUAUAUAUAUAUAUAUAUAUAUAUAUAUAUAUAUAUAUAUGUCUCUAACUCUCCAUGGUUGUUGAAUUAUAUCAAAUUACUUAACCGAACUGAAUUUCAGCAUCUUUCUAUUGUUUCAAAACUUUGCUAUGAGCUAAUGCUUUUUAAUUUGUUGAUAUAUUAUAUAAUUUGUCAAAUUUUCAUUGGAUUUUUUAUUGAAGACAUGUAUCUAUUUUAGCAACGGAUGUGCCACCAUUUCCAAACAUAUGUACUGAAUGAUUUAUUGAUUAUGAUUGAUGUUGGGUUUGGGAAAAGAUUAUGAUUCCUUUUUUCUUUUCUACUUCAAUUUCUCCUAACUCAGGUUUAACCUUUUGUUUGCAUAAGAGGUUUACUAGGGUUGGACUAUAAUUAGAAUGAUUUGGAGGAACUAUUAUCACAUUCGAUAGGGAAUUGGUGGCUAUUUUACCUGUCUGUACAUAGUCGAGAAGCAAUUGGCAAUUGCUAUUUUACGCAUCUGCUAACAAGCUAUGGAAGGUGAAAGGAGAAUCCUUGAUCCGUUAGAGGGAACCUUCUGAAAAUUAGAGCACUGCAUGAGUUCUCUAAUUCCUUUAUCUUUUCUAUUUUUCACUGCUUUUAAUAUGCAUUUGUUAUGUUGAUCUUAGAUAGCUCUCUAGGCUCUCAAUUUGAUGAUAUAAGACCUCUGGUGAGGUUAAAAUGGGUGCCUCUUUGUCA